rnacentral:lncRNA from 1 species
AGUGUAAGUGCCAGGAGGGACAGCUUGGAGAGAUACGUGGCUGAGUGUGCACCCUCGGAUGUUGCCUGGCAUAUGAUAUUCAUCCAGGAUCCAGGAGGUGCCAUGGUGGGAGGAAGCUACAGGAGCAGUCCAGAGCCUGCCUGUCCCACAGGCUUGGCCAUGCCGUGCCAUGCCAUGGCUCUCCACCCCAACCACUGGUCCUCCCAGCUGUCCCCAGAUUCCCAGAACAGAUUCCCCCCUUGGAUAACCCAUGCUGUAUUAGGCUACCAAGCUCCAGCAGCUUGUUCCUCAUCAAGGGAUCUCUAGCCACCUAUCUGGCAGAAUCACAGGCAGCCUGGCACACAGUCUGAGCACAGCCCUGCUUAGACCUUCCAGCAGGUAUCCUGGUCAUUCUUCUCACUGCUGGCCAGUAGAGUGGGUAAG